rnacentral:tRNA from 1 species
GGUGCUGUGGCUUUGCUGGUUAAAGUGCCUGUCUAGUAUACAGGAGAUCCUGAGUUUGAAUCUCAGCAGUGCCU